GACGAACGCUGGCGGCGUGCUUAACACAUGCAAGUCGAACGGAAAGGCCUGCUUUCCCUUGUGGAUUGCGGGUACUCGAGUGGCGAACGGGUGAGUAACACGUGAGUGAUCUGCCCCCAACUUGGGUAUAAGCCUGGGAAACUGGGUCUAAUUCCCGAUAGGACUGCAGGGUGGUGCCUGUGGUGGAAAACGAUUUUCUAGUGGUUGGGGAUGAGCGCGCGGCCUAUCAGCUGGUUGGUGGGGUAAUGGCCUACCAAGGCGGCGACGGGUAGCCGGCCUGAGAGGGUGGACGGCCACAUUGGGACUGAGAGACGGCCCAGAGUCCUACGGGAGGCAGCAGUGGGGAAUAUUGCACGAUGGGCGGAAGCCUGAUGCAGCGACGCCGCGUGGGGGAUGACGGCCUUCGGGUUGUAAACUCCUUUCGACCGCGAGGAAGCCACCUGGUUGGAAGGGUGGUGACGGUAGUGGUAGAAGAAGCACCGGCUAACUACGUG
rnacentral:rRNA from 1 species